rnacentral:rRNA from 1 species
ACGGAGGGUGCAAGCGUUGUUCGGAAUUAUUGGGCGUAAAGGGCGUGUAGGCGGGUAUGCAGGUCAGAUGUGAAAGCCCUCGGCUCAACCGAGGAAGUGCAUUUGAAACCGUAUAUCUUGAGUACGAGAGAGGCAGAUGGAAUUCCCAGUGUAGAGGUGAAAUUCAUAGAUAUUGGGAAGAACACCGGUGGCGAAAGCGGUCUGCUGGCUCGAUACUGACGCUGAGACGCGAAAGCGUGGGGAGCAAACAGG